rnacentral:rRNA from 1 species
CAGUGUCGCAUGACACAGUGAGGAAAGGAAUUUCGCUUAAGGAUGGACCCGCGUUUGAUUAGCCAGUUGGCAGGGUAACGGCCUACCAAAGCAACGAUCAAUAGCCGGCCUGAGAGGGUGAACGGCCACAUUGGAACUGAGACACGGUCCAAACUCCUACGGGAGGCAGCAGUGGGGAGUAUUGCACAAUGGGGGAAACCCUGAUGCAGCAACGCCGCGUGAGUGAAGAAGUAUUUCGGUAUGUAAAGCUCUAUCGAUGGGGAAUAAAAAAAUGAAGGUACCCAAGUAAGAAGCCCCGGCUAACUACGUGCCAGCAGCCGCGGUAAUACGUAGGGGGCAAGCGUUAUCCGGAUUUACUGGGUGUAAAGGGAGCGUAGACGGAAUAGCAAGUUUGAAGUGAAACCCCUGGGCUUAACCCAGGACUUGCUUUGAAAACUGUUAAUCUAGAGUACUGGAGGGGUAUGGGGAAUUCCUAGUGUAGUAGUGAAAUGCGUAGAUAUUAGGAGGAACACCGGAGGCGAAGGCGCCAUACUGGACAGAUACUGACGUUGAGGCUCGAAAGCGUGGGGAGCAAACAGGA